GCAUCUUAGCAGGACAGGAUGGAUUCGGAGGCAGAUUUUUUCUUUAUUUUGUAUUUUUUUUUUAAAAAAGAGAAAAGAAAAGACUGCGUUUCGGAAUUCAGUUUCGCUUUAUAUUAGUUUUCUAAAUUUCUUAAUUCAUCUCUUUAAAAAAAAAACACAGCCCCUCUUGUAUUGAACACAAUUAAUUCAAUAGGAAAUAUUAUCGGUGCCUUGGCUGCCACCUGCCGGUUUCAAUUAGAAUUGCACAUGUGCAUAGGAAUAGUAAUAUAUCCUCUACUAAAAUGUCUGCCAGUGUACACUUUCCUCUACCAAGAUGGCGGCCCGUCCCCGACAGUUUUCCUCCCGCAAAAUAGACGCUUUCUUUACCAAAAUGUCUUCCUUUGCGCGUCGCCGCCCAACUAGAACGCCAAUCUGAUUUGGUUUAGCAAGGUGGCCGACGCCUGGCUUCACUCCACUUUCCUGUGAGGAUUUCAAAGGGAUGGGCGUAUCCCCGCAUUCCCGUUUUCCCUUUGUUUGCAAGAGUGUCCACGACGGGGCGUUGAAUAAAGUUUUAAAGCGGUUGAAUCCGCAGUGACUCGGGAAAGAGAACAGCGAUGGAGGAUCUGGAUUUUAUCCCGGGGGAUCUCAGCUCGGAGGAGCGCCUGGAGCUUGAAGAGAUUCGACGCAGGAAAGGUGUUCUGCUGCUGGAGAUCCAGAGACUUAAAGAUGAGCUGAGAGAGGCCAUGAUGGAAGUGGAGGGACUGGAGAGCAACACAGAGGGGAGCAAAACGUUACAGAAAAGCCGUCAUGUGGCCAUGGGUCGAAAAAAGUUCAACAUGGAUCCCAAAAAGGGUAUUCAGUUCCUGGUUGAAAACGAGUUGCUGUGCCACACAGCUGAAGAAAUCGCUCAGUUCCUGUACAAAGGGGAGGGGCUCAACAAGACUGCGAUCGGGGAUUAUCUCGGUGAAAGGGACGACUUCAAUAUCCGAGUCCUCCAUGCGUUUGUGGAUCUCCACGAGUUCACAGACCUCAAUCUGGUGCAAGCGCUCAGACAGUUUCUCUGGAGUUUCCGGUUGCCCGGGGAGGCACAGAAAAUCGACAGGAUGAUGGAAGCAUUCGCUCAGCGAUACUGUCACUGCAACCCCGGUGUCUUUCAGAGUACAGACACCUGCUAUGUUCUGUCGUUCGCCAUCAUCAUGCUGAACACCAGUCUGCACAACCCCAACGUGAGAGACAAGCCGGGGGUGGAGAGAUUCAUCUCCAUGAACAGAGGAAUCAACGAGGGAGGGGACCUGCCAGAGGAGCUGCUGAGGAAUCUUUACGACAGCAUCAAGAACGAGCCGUUCAAAAUCCCCGAGGAUGAUGGGAAUGACCUGACGCACACUUUCUUCAACCCUGACCGGGAGGGCUGGCUCCUCAAACUGGAUGAUGCUGAGCGUUUGCACAUAGCUCUGUGCUCCUUAACAAUAAACCCACAACACAAAGAGCUCAAUCUUUUCUCUCUGCCAAGAUCAACAGACCCAACCUUUCCUGCUGCGUCGCUGUUGCCUUGUUCUGUUAAAGUCUUCCGUUUGAACAUUCAAUGAUUUGAAGUUUGCUGAGAGAAAGCAUUUGCAGCAGUGAGGUACAGAUUUGAGACGAGAUGCUUGCGAGAAAUUCUUUGGUUUCCAAAACGCGGCAGUCAGAUCACUAACGAUGAAGGCUGUAACAAAAUAUUUUAAAAAUGUCCUUUUAUACAUUGAGAAGGGUUACAUUUACUAUCUUCAGUGUUUUCUGAAGUGGGGCACAGGAAAUAAAAAAUCCUGUUUAUAAAUUCUGUGUUUGUUUCACUGAGUUUCCUGUCGUAGUCUGUACGCUGUUUUUAUAUCAAUAAAUUCAUUUCCAGGACUUUCGUCUGAAGGCUCUGAAUACGUUUCAGAUUUUCAGUUUGUCUCGAUUGAAUUAAAUCCAGUUUAAAACGUUUUUUAAAGGUCAAUACAGUUUCACGAAAACCAAACUGGGUUUCAUAUUUUGUUCUGAGGUUCAGUUGUGUAUAAAAGUAACUAAUUAUGACGUCUUUGUAAGGGGUGGUUUGUCUGGUCCUGUGCUUUCACUGUGGUAUACAUUUCUGCAUGAUCUUGGCUAAUGUGACUAAUAUUUCUCUUUCUCUCUCUUUCUCCCUCCCUUUCUUACCACUCUCUCUCCUCUCCUCUCCUCUCCCGCCUUACUCUCCCUCUCUCCUCUCUCUUCUACUGAUUGCUCUUAAGGAGGGGGUCGCGUGAAAACGUGGAAAAGACGCUGGUUCAUCCUGACAGACAAUUGCCUCUACUACUUUGAGUACACCACGGAUAAGGAACCUCGAGGGAUU